ensembl:snRNA U5 U5 spliceosomal RNA
UUUCUCGGGUGUCUCUUCAUAAUGUACAAGUCUUUUGCCUUUUAUUAAAGACCUCUAUGGAGAGGACCACCAAUAGGUUGAACCUAGCUUCCUGCUGCCCUGUUCACAGCAG